rnacentral:tRNA from 1 species
CAAAAUGUAUCUUAAAUUAAAGUCCUCCGCUUACACCGAAGCUAUGUCUGUUAACUCAGACCAUUUUGA